AUGGCGAAGCCGAUAUCGAUAGAGGUGUGGAACCCCAGCGGCAAGUACCGCGUGGUGAGCACCAAGUCCAUGCCCGGCACCCGCUGGAUCAAGCUCCUCACUGGCAACGACUGCCGCCUCGAGAUAUGCACGGAGAAGAAGACCAUCCUCUCUGUUGACGACAUACUGGCACUCAUCGGUGAUCACUGCCAUGGUGUCAUCGGCCAGCUAACAGAGGACUGGGGGGAAGUGCUCUUCUCUGCGCUCAAGCGUGCCGGCGGGACAGCCUUCAGCAACAUGGCCGUCGGUUACAACAACGUUGAUGUCGAUGCUGCCAACAGGAAUGGCAUCGCCAUCGGCAACACGCCUGGUGUUCUUACCGAGACGACGGCGGAGCUGGCGGCGUCGCUGUCGGUGGCGGCUGCCCGGAGGAUCGUUGAGGCCGACCAAUUCAUGAGGGCUGGCCUCUACGACGGAUGGCUUCCGCACUUGUUUGUUGGGAACUUGCUCAAGGGGCAGACUGUUGGAGUGAUCGGAGCUGGCCGCAUCGGCUCAGCUUAUGCAAGGAUGAUGAUUGAGGGGUUCAAGAUGAACUUGAUCUACUUCGAUCUGUACCAGUCCACACGGCUCGAGAAAUUCGUCACAGCGUAUGGCCAGUUCCUGAAAGCCAAUGGUGAGCAGCCUGUGACAUGGAAGAGGGCCUCCAGCAUGGAGGAAGUUCUCAGGGAGGCCGAUGUGAUAAGCCUGCACCCAGUGCUGGACAAGACGACGUACCACCUGAUAAACCCUGAGCGGCUGGCGAUGAUGAAGAAGGAGGCAGUGCUGGUGAACGCCAGCCGUGGCCCGGUGAUCGACGAGGUUGCACUGGUGGAGCACCUGAGGGCGAAUCCCAUGUUCCGUGUUGGCCUCGAUGUUUUUGAGGAUGAGCCUUACAUGAAGCCAGGGCUGGCUGAGAUGAAGAAUGCCGUCGUCGUGCCUCACAUCGCAUCUGCAUCGAAGUGGACGCGUGAAGGGAUGGCGACGCUCGCUGCUCUGAACGUGCUUGGUAAGAUCAAGGGGUACCCGGUGUGGGGGAACCCGAACGCGGUGGAGCCCUUCCUCGACGAGAAGGCGGCGCCGCCCCCUGCCUGCCCAAGCAUCGUUAACGCCAAGCAACUCGGCCUGCCAUCUUCCAAGCUUUAG
rnacentral:rRNA from 1 species